rnacentral:rRNA from 1 species
AUUGAACGCUGGCGGCAGGCCUAACACAUGCAAGUCGAGCGAGCGGCGGACGGGUGAGUAAUGUCUGGGAAAAUGCCUGAUGGAGGGGGAUAACUACUGGAAACGGUAGCUAAUACCGCAUACUAUCAGAUGUGCCCAUAUGGGAUUAGCUAGUAGGUGGGGUAAUGGCUCACCUAGGCGACGAUCCCUAGCUGGUCUGAGAGGAUGAGCAGCCACACGGGGACGGAGACACGGUCCAGAUUCCUGCGGGAGGCAGAAGUGGGGAAUAUUGCAGAAUGGGCGCAAGCCUGAUGCAUCCAUGCCGCGUGUAUGAAGAAGGCCUUAGGGUUGUAAAGUACUUUCAGCCGGGAGGCGUUACCGACAGAAGAAGCACCGGCUAACUCCGUGCCAGCAGCCGCGGUAAUUC